rnacentral:misc_RNA from 1 species
GGGUGAGUGUAUUGGUCCAACGUUCAGCGUUGAGAGGGGUGGGGAAACAGUGUUCCUAAACUCAGAUGUAUACCAUUUCUAGAGACUAUUAACAAUUUACAUUCACAAGUUGCAGGAGAAUAAAUGCCAAUCAUUUAUCUAAUCUGCAGAAAUUAGCUUUAUGUUGCUGCUGAUAUGACAGAUCUAUCUAAAUUCUGCAUUCCAUACAUGCCAUAGCUUGGUAAGAAGAGGGGCUCAGAUGCAAGUAAAUCAGAUCCAUUUCAAUUAUCAGUCUUCACUGUCGAUCAUUGAG